UACGUAGGGUGCGAGCGUUAAUCGGAAUUACUGGGCGUAAAGCGUGCGCAGGCGGUUUUGUAAGCCGGAUGUGAAAUCCCCGGGCUUAACCUGGGAAUGGCAUUCGGGACUGCAAGGCUGGAGUGCGGCAGAGGAGACUGGAAUUCCUGGUGUAGCAGUGAAAUGCGUAGAUAUCAGGAGGAACACCGGUGGCGAAGGCAGCGCGCUGGGACGGUACUGACGCUGAGGCGCGAAAGCGUGGGGAGCGAACAGG
rnacentral:rRNA from 1 species